rnacentral:rRNA from 1 species
CCAGCAGCCGCGGUAAUACGUAGGGCGCAAGCGUUAUCCGGAAUUAUUGGGCGUAAAGAGCUCGUAGGCGGUUUGUCGCGUCUGCCGUGAAAGUCCGGGGCUUAACUCCGGAUCUGCGGUGGGUACGGGCAGACUAGAGUGCAGUAGGGGAGACUGGAAUUCCUGGUGUAGCGGUGAAAUGCGCAGAUAUCAGGAGGAACACCGAUGGCGAAGGCAGGUCUCUGGGCUGUAACUGACGCUGAGGAGCGAAAGCAUGGGGAGCGAACAGGAUUAGAUACCCUGGUAGUCCAUGCCGUAAACGUUGGGCACUAGGUGUGGGGGACAUUCCACGUUUUCCGCGCCGUAGCUAACGCAUUAAGUGCCCCGCCUGGGGAGUACGGCCGCAAGGCUAAAACUCAAAGGAAUUGACGGGGGCCCGCACAAGCGGCGGAGCAUGCGGAUUAAUUCGAUG